UGGGGAAUAUUGGACAAUGGGGGCAACCCUGAUCCAGCAAUGCCGCGUGUGUGAAGAAGGUCUUCGGAUUGUAAAGCACUUUCGACGGGGACGAUGAUGACGGUACCCGUAGAAGAAGCCCCGGCUAACUUCGUGCCAGCAGCCGCGGUAAUACGAAGGGGGCCUAGCGUUGCUCGGAAUGACUGGGCGUAAAGGGCGUGUAGGCGGUUUACACAGUCAGAUGUGAAAUCCCCGGGCUUAACCUGGGAGCUGCAUUUGAUACGUGUAGACUAGAGUGUGAGAGAGGGUUUGUGGAAUUCCCAGUGUAGAGGUGAAAUUCGU
rnacentral:rRNA from 1 species